AGAGUUUGAUUCCUGGCUCAGGAUGAACGCUGGCGGCGCGCUUAACACAUGCAAGUCGAACGAUGAUGCUGGUGCUUGCACUGGUGGAUUAGUGGCGAACGGGUGAGUAUCACGUGAGUAACCUUCCCUUGACUCUGGGAUAAGCCCAGGAAACUGGGUCUAAUACCGGAUAUGACUGGUCUCCGCAUGGGGGCUGGUGGAAAGCUUUUGCGGUUUUGGAUGGACUCGUGGCCUAUCAGUUUGUUGGUGAGGUAAUGGCUUACCAAGACGAUGACGGGUAGCCGGCCUGAGAGGGUGACCGGCCACACUGGGACUGAGACACGGCCCAGACUCCUACGGGAGGCAGCAGUGGGGAAUAUUGCACAAUGGGCGCAAGCCUGAUGCAGCGACGCCGCGUGCGGGAUGACGGCCUUCGGGUUGUAAACCGCUUUCAGCAAGGAAGAAGCUUUUUGUGACGGUACUUGCAGAAGAAGCGCCGGCUAACUACGUGCCAGCAGCCGCGGUAAUACGUAGGGCGCGAGCGUUAUCCGGAAUUAUUGGGCGUAAAGAGCUCGUAGGCGGUUUGCCACGUCUGCUGUGAAAGCCCGGGGCUCAACCUCGGGUGUGCAGUGGGUACGGGUAGGCUGGAGUGCAGUAGGGGAGACUGGAAUUCCUGGUGUAGCGGUGAAUGCGCAGAUAUCAGGAGGAACACCGAUGGCGAAGGCAGGUCUCUGGGCUGUUACUGACGCUGAGGAGCGAAAGCAUGGGGAGCGAACAGGAUUAGAUACCCUGGUAGUCCAUGCCGUAAACGUUGGGCACUAGGUGUGGGGGACAUUCCACGUUUUCCGCGCCGUAGCUAACGCAUUAAGUGCCCCGCCUGGGGAGUACGGCCGCAAGGCUAAAAACUCAAAGGAAUUGACGGGGGCCCGCACAAGCGCCGGAGCAUGCGGAUUAAUUCGAUGCACGCGAGAACCUUACCAGCUUUGACAUGGACGAUCGCUGCAGAGAUGCAGUUUUCCUUCCGGGCUUGAUCACAGUUGUGCAUGUGGUCGUCAGCUUCAUGUCUUGAGAUGUUGGUUUAGUACGGCACCGAAGCGCAACCCUUGUCCUA
rnacentral:rRNA from 1 species